rnacentral:rRNA from 1 species
AGCGUAACAGCUCACCGGUCUAAUAGAGUUUCUGCGCCGAAGAUGUAACGGGGCUAAAAUCAUAUACCGAAUCUGUGGAUUUAUAAUUUUUUCGAAAAUUAUAACUGGUAGCGGAACGUUCUGUAAGCCUGCGAAGGGAUACCCGUGAGGGAUCCUGGAGGUAUCAGAAGUGCGAAUGCUGACAUAAGUAACGAUAAAAGAAGUGAAAAACUUCUUCGCCGAAAAUCCAAGGGUUUCUGCGCAAGGUUAAUCCGCGCAGAGUUAGUCGGCACCUAAGGCGAGGGCGAAAGCCGUAGUCGAUGGAAAUAAGGUUAAUAUUCCUUAACCAGAUGGUAGUGACGGAUCUUGUAAGUUGUAAGUUCUUAAUGGAUUGAACUUGCCGCGAAAAGGUUCCAAGAAAUAGCUCCAUCAUUAGACCGUACCCUAAACCGACACAGGUGGAUUAAUAGAGUAUAUUUAGGCGCUUGAGAGAAUGAUGUUGAAGGAACUCGGCAAAAUACUUCUGUAACUUCGGGAUAAGGAAGACCUUUUAGUAGGCAACUAUUAGAAGGUGGCACAAGCCAGGGAGAAGCGACUGUUUAUCAAAAACACAGGGCUCUGCUAACACGUAAGUGGAUGUAUAGGGUCUGACGCCUGCCCGGUGCUGGAAGGUUAAUGCGGUUGGUGCAAGCUAACUUCUGAAGCCCCAGUAAACGGCGGCCGUAACUAUAACGGUCCUAAGGUAGCGAAAUUCCUUGUCGGGUAAGUUCCGACCUGCAUGAAUGGCGUAACGAUUUCUCCGCUGUCUCCAACAUCAACUCAGUGAAAUUGAAUUCUCCGUGAAGAUGCGGAGUUCGCGUAGUUAGACGGAAAGACCCCGUGCACCUUUACUGCAACUUUACAUUGGUAUUAGGAAAAACAUAUUUAGCAUAGGAGGGAGACAUUGAAGCAAAGGCGUCAGCUUUUGUGGAGUCAUCAGUGAAAUACCUCUUUUGUUUUUCUUGGUAUCUAACUGAUUGCCGUCAUCCGGCAUCAAGACAUUGUAUGGUGGGUAGUUUGACUGGGGCGGUCGCCUCCCAAAUAGUAACGGAGGCGUGCGAAGGUAGGCUCAGAACGGUCAGAAAUCGUUCGUAGAGUGCAAUGGCAAAAGCCUGCCUGACUGUGAGACUGACAAGUCAAGCAGAGACGAAAGUCGGUCAUAGUGAUCCGGUGGUUCUGAGUGGAAGGGC